CUUCAGUCUGCUUUGUGCUUGAGGGACACCAUUGCCUCUCCAGUCUGGGGAAUCACUGUCAUCCACUUGAAAGCAGGAUGAUUAAAGGCCACACCGGCAGUGAUGGACCCACAGCUGCAACAGUUUGAGAAGCACCCUGUGCCCUGCCCUGUUCUGCCCCUGUUACAGGUCAGCACUUCACAGAGGCAAAGUCCAGGAAGCUGUCCCUGCUAGCUGGAUCCUGA
rnacentral:lncRNA from 1 species